UCGAGAAUUUUUCACAAUGGGCGCAAGCCUGAUGGAGCGACGCCGCGUGGGGGAUGAAGGGUCUCGAUCCGUAAACCCCUGUCAUUUGCGAACAAACCUUGAUUGUGAAUAGCGAUCGAGCUGAUUGUAGCGGAAGAGGAAGGGACGGCUAACUCUGUGCCAGCAGCCGCGGUAAUACAGAGGUCCCAAGCGUUGUUCGGAUUCACUGGGCGUAAAGGGUGCGUAGGUGGUCGGUGAAGUUCGGUGUGAAAGCUCGGAGCUCAACUCCGAAACGGCAUUGAAAACUCAUCGGCUGGAGGGUCGGAGGGGGGACUGGAAUUCUCGGUGUAGCAGUGAAAUGCGUAGAUAUCGGGAGGAACACCAGUGGCGAAGGCGAGUCUCUGGACGACUCCUGACACUGAGGCACGAAAGCCAGGGGAGCAAACAG
rnacentral:rRNA from 1 species